GAUGAACGCUGGCGGCGUGCCUAAUACAUGCAAGUCGAGCGAACAGACGAGGAGCUUGCUCCUCUGACGUUAGCGGCGGACGGGUGAGUAACACGUGGAUAACCUACCUAUAAGACUGGGAUAACUUCGGGAAACCGGAGCUAAUACCGGAUAAUAUAUUGAACCGCAUGGUUCAAUAGUGAAAGACGGUUUUGCUGUCACUUAUAGAUGGAUCCGCGCCACAUUAGCUAGUUGGUAAGGUAACGGCUUACCAAGGCGACGAUGCGUAGCCGACCUGAGAGGGUGAUCGGCCACACUGGAACUGAGACACGGUCCAGACUCCUACGGGAGGCAGCAGUAGGGAAUCUUCCGCAAUGGGCGAAAGCCUGACGGAGCAACGCCGCGUGAGUGAUGAAGGUCUUCGGAUCGUAAAACUCUGUUAUUAGGGAAGAACAAAUGUGUAAGUAACUAUGCACGUCUUGACGGUACCUAAUCAGAAAGCCACGGCUAACUACGU
rnacentral:rRNA from 1 species